CGCGUAGGCGGCUUUGUAAGUCUGGAGUGAAAGUCCUCUUUUCAAGGGAGGAAUUGCUUUGGAAACUAUAGAGCUUGAGUGCAGGAGAGGUUAUCGGAAUUCCCGGUGUAGCGGUGAAAUGCGUAGAUAUCGGGAGGAACAUCGGUGGCGAAGGCGAGUAACUGGACUGCAACUGACGCUGAGGCGCGAAAGUGUGGGGAGCAAACA
rnacentral:rRNA from 1 species